CCUACGGGAGGCAGCAGUGAGGAAUAUUGGUCAAUGGGCGGGAGCCUGAACCAGCCAAGUCGCGUGAGGGAAGACGGUCCUAUGGAUUGUAAACCUCUUUAGGCGGGGAGCAAUGCCGGGCACGCGUGCCCGGAGGGAGAGUACCCGCAGAAUAAGCAUCGGCUAACUCCGUGCCAGCAGCCGCGGUAAUACGGAGGAUGCGAGCGUUAUCCGGAAUCAUUGGGCGUAAAGCGUUCGUAGGCGGCAAGGUAAGUCUGAUGUUAAAGCCCGGGGCUCAACUCCGGUUCGGCAUUGGAUACUAUCUAGCUAGAAUGUGGUAGAGGUAAAGGGAAUUCCUGGUGUAGCGGUGAAAUGCGUAGAUAUCAGGAGGAACAUCGGUGGCGAAAGCGCUUUACUGGACCAUUAUUGACGCUGAGGAACGAAAGCCAGGGGAGCAAAUGGGAUUAGAUACCCGAGUAGUC
rnacentral:rRNA from 1 species